UUCCUCUUUAGCUCAGCGGUAGAGCGAACGAUUGUUAAUCGUUUGGUCCCUGGUUCGAUCCCAGGAAGGGGAGU
rnacentral:tRNA from 1 species